AGAACAUGUAUGGACCUAACUGUACAAAAUUGUGCUCAAAACGUAAAUGUAAGUUCAGCAAUUCCUCCUGUGAUGUCAGGGCAGGUGCUUGUGAUGACGGAUGUCAAAAUGGGUGGACUGGAUCGGACUGUACAAAAGACAUAAAUGAGUGUCUUGGAUCGAAUCUGUGUGGUACCCAUGCGCUUUGCAACAACACCGAGGGGUCAUAUAUAUGUACAUGCCAAACUGGAUAUUCUGGAGAUGGACAAAAUUGUAAAGAUGUAAACGAGUGUGUCGAACAGUAUCCAUGUGACA